UCUAGCUCAACUGGUCAGAGCAUGGCAUUAAUACUGCCAGGGUUAGAGGUUUAAUUCCUACUGGGGAACUGCCA